UACGUAGGGGGGCAAGCGUUGUCCGGAAUCAUUGGGCGUAAAGAGCGUGUAGGCGGCUCGAUAAGUCUGCUGUGAAAGUCCAGGGCUCAACCCUGGAAGGCCGGUGGAAACUGUCUGGCUAGAGUCCGGAAGAGGAGAGUGGAAUUCCUGGUGUAGCGGUGAAAUGCGCAGAUAUCAGGAAGAACACCUAUGGCGAAGGCAGCUCUCUGGGACGUUACUGACGCUGAGACGCGAAAGCGUGGGGGAGCAAACAGG
rnacentral:rRNA from 1 species